rnacentral:lncRNA from 1 species
AUUUAUGUAAAAUUGCGAAAAAAUUAUAUUACGUACAGUAAAAAAAAAUACGAUAAAAAAAUAUUUUUAUUUUAGUCUAUAAUAUUAUAUUUAGUGUAUCACAAAAAUUUAUAUAUUUUUUAUGUUCUCAUGUACCAAAAGAUUUUUUUUUAGAGAGAAAGGUAGCAUGACACUUGCGCUAGGGACGGUCGGUCUCAUGUACCAAAAGUUAUGAAAGAAAUAUUUUGGUAAACUUCAAAUACUAUUCAUGUAGUUUCGCACUUUUUUAUUUUAUUAUCCUAUGUUUUAAAGUGUACUAAUUUACUGCCCUAUGGUUUUAUUUUUUUUUCUUUUCGUUAGCUUAUUCGUUAAUAUUUCGUUAAAUUAUAUAAACAAAAAAACCCUUAGAUUUAUCGAAUAUUUAAUUUAGUAUCCUUUAGUUUUAAUUUUAUUACUGAUUAAAAAAAAAUUAGUAAAAUUGAUAAGAAAAAAAAAUAAAACUACAGAAUAUUAAAUUAAUACNAUAUAUAUAUAUAUAUAAAAUUUGAUUUUUAGCAAAAUUAAAAUAUAAAGCCCAACUUAAUCAUAAAAAGAUUUAUUAUAUACAAAGUUUCAACCAUUAAAUCAAAAUCUAAUGGAUAAGAUUUUAUAAAUUUAUUUUUCAUAUAUAUCAAAUCUAAUUUUUUUAACUUGUUGUUCAUUGGCCAGUUCGUGAGUCGGCUCAUAUUCAACUUGUUUAUUAACGAGCCGAACACGAACUGAAUUUUUCAGCUCAAUACUUUAACGAGCUAGCUCGUGUUUGGCUCAUUUAAUAAACGAACCAAACACGAACCGGCUCCAACUCGUUCGUGUUGAGCUCAUUGACACUCCUAGUAUGAGAUAUAGUGUUAAAUUCAACGCCGUCUAUUAUCUGAAAUUUUUACAAUAAUUAUUUAUGUUUACAUAAAGGUUAAAUAAUUAAUACCUAAAGUCCCAAAUUUGAAAUCUAGAAAUUUCAUAUUCCUAUUUUCUUUACUUGACUUACCAAUUUUUUUUUUUCUGAAAUCCUAUAAAUCUAGAAAAAGUGGGUGUAAGACUUACCUGACUCUUUUGGUCAUGUGCAUGGCAUGUGCCCAAAAGCUUAGUACGGAUUUAUGUAAAAUUGCGAAAAAAUUAUAUUACGUACAGUAAAAAAAAAUAUGAUCAAAAAAUAUUUUUAUUUUAGUCUAUAAUAUUAUAUUCAGUGUAUCACAAAAAUUUAUAUAUUUUUUAUAUUCUCAUGUACCAAAAGAUUUUUUUUUUGAGAGAGAAAGGUAGCAUGAAACUUGAGCUAGGGACGGUCGGUCUUAUGUACCAAAAGUUAUGAAAGAAAUGUUUUGGUAAACUUCAAAUACUAUUCCUGUAGUUUCGCACUUUUUUAUUUUAUUAUCCUAUGAUUUAAAGUGUACUAAUUUAGUGCCCUAUGGUUUCAUUUUUUUUUCUUUUUGUUAGCUUAUUCGUUAAUAUUUCGUUAAAUUAUAUAAACAAAAAAACCUUAGAUUUAUCGAAUAUUUAAUUUAAUAUCCUUUAGUUUUAAUUUUAUUAUUGAUUAAAAAAAUUAGUAAAAUUGAUAAGAAAAAAAAAAUAAAACUACAGAAUAUUAAAUUAAUACAUUUUAAAUUAU